UUAGAUAAUUCUACUUAACAUUAUCUAAGAUGAUAACAUUGUUAUUCUGUAUUUAUAAUGGUGUUGUUAGGUAAUUAAUUAUUAUUUCGCUUUCUUCUAUAAUAGCAGUUUGACAAUAUGGAUAAAGAUAAUAUUUCUUAAGUGAACGUUAUUUUAAAACAGCCAAAACUGCAUGUUGACGAAGAUAUUGUGAUAGUAAAAAAAAAAUAUUAAUGAUAGAUAUUGAUGUUUACAAUCUUAUCGUAUUUUAUCGAGAUUCAGGAUCACUAUGGAAUUAAGUGUGUUAUGAAAAAUAUCAGG
rnacentral:lncRNA from 1 species